CACGUAGGGCGCGAGCGUUGUCCGGAUUUAUUGGGCGUAAAGAGCUCGUAGGCGGCUUGUCGCGUCGGCUGUGAAAUCCCGAGGCUCAACCUCGGGUCUGCAGUCGAUACGGGCAAACUAGAGUAUUGCAGGGGAGACUGGAAUUCCUGGUGUAGCGGUGAAAUGCGCAGAUAUCAGGAGGAACACCGGUGGCGAAGGCGGGUCUCUGGGCAAUAACUGACGCUGAGGAGCGAAAGCGUGGGGAGCAAACAGG
rnacentral:rRNA from 1 species